ensembl:lncRNA
ACAUCCACCACUAGUUUAGUAGAAAAAUCUACAACGAUAGAGACUUCCACAAUCACAACUCCUGAUGAAACAUCUACCACUAGUUUAGCAGAAACACCCACAACAACAGAGACUUCCACAAUCACAACUCCUGAUGAAGCGUCCACCACUAGUGGAGUAGAAACAUCUACAACAACAGAGACUUUCACAAUCAUGACUCCAGAUAAAACAUCCACCACUAGUGCACCGGAAACAUCUACAACAACAGAGACUUCCACAAUCACGACUCUUGCUGAAACAUCCAUCACUAGUACACAGGAAACAUCUACAUCAACAGAGAGUUCCACAAUCACGAUUCCUGCGGAAACAUCUACAACAACAGAGGCUUCUACAAUCAUAACUCCUGAUGAAACAUUCACCACUAGUGCACCAGAAACAUCUACAACAACAGAGACUUCAACAAUGACAACUCCUGAUGAAACAUCCACCACUAGUGCACCAGAAACAUCUACAACAACAGAGACUUCAACAAUGACAACUCCUGAUGAAACAUCCAUCACUAAUUCACCAGAAACAUCUACAAAAACAGAGACUUCCACAAUGACGACUCCUGAUAAAACAUCCACCACUAGUUUAACAGAAACAUCUACAACAACACAGACUUCCACAAUCACCACUGCUGAUGAAACAUCCACUACUAGUUUAUCAGAAACAUCUACAUCAACAGAGACUUACACAAUCACAACUCCUGCUGAAACAUUUACAACAACAGAGACUUCCACAAUCAUGACACCUGCUGAAACAUCCACCACUAGUUUAGCAGAAAUAUCUACAAAAACACAGAGUUUCAAAAUCACGACACCUGAUAAAACAUCCACCACUAGUACACCGGAAACAUCUACAUCAACAGAGGCUUCUACAAUCACAACUCCUGAUGAAACAUCCACCACUAGUGCACCAGAAACAUCUACAACAACAGAGACUUCCACAAUGAAGAUUCCUGAUGAAACAUCCACCUCUACUGCAGCAGAAACACCUACAACAACAGAGACUUCCACAAUCACAACUCCUAAAGAAACAACCACCACUAGUUUAGCAGAACCAUCUAUAACAACAGAGACUUCCACAAUCACAACUCCUGAUGAAACAUCCACCACUAGUGCAGCAGAAACAUCUACAACAACAGAGACUUCAACAAUCAUGACUCCUGCUGAAGCAUUCAACACUAUUGCAGCAGAACCAUCAACAACACCAGAGACUACCACAAUCAUGACUCCAGAUAAAACCUCCACCACUAGUGCAACAGAAACAUCUACAACACCAGAGACUUCCACAAUCAUGACUCCUGAUGAAACAUCCACCACUAGUGCACCAGAAACAUCUACAAUGCCAGAGACUUCCACAAUCAUGGCACCUGAUGAAACAUACAGCACUAGUGCACCAGAAAAAUCUACAACAACAGAUACUUCAACAAUGAAUACUCCUGAUGAAACAUCCACCACUAGUUUAGCAGAAACAUCUACAACACCAGAGACUUCCACAAUCACCACUCCUGAUGAAACACCCACCACUAGUGCAGCAGAAACAUCUACAUCAACAGAGACUUACACAUUCACAACUCUUGCUGAAACAUUUACAACAACACAGACUUCCACAAUCAAGUCUCCUGAUGUAACAUCCAGCACUAGUGCAACAGAAACAUCUACAACAACAGAGACUUCCACAAACACAACUCCUGCUGAAACAUUUACAACAACAAAGAUUUCUACAGUCAAGACUCCUGAUGAGACAUCCACCACUAGUGCAGCAGGAACUUCUACAUCAACAGAGAAUUCCACAAUCAUGAUUCCUGCUGAAACAUCUACAACAACAGAGGCUUCUACAAUCACAACAACUCCAGCUGAAACAUCCACCACUAGUGUACCAGAAACAUCUAGAACAUCAGAGACUUCCACAAUCACGACUCUUGCUGAAACAUCCACCAGUAGUUCAAUAGAAACAUCUACAAAAUCUGAGACUUCCACAAUCAUGACUCCUGAUGAAACUUCCACCACUAGUUUAGCAGAAACAGCUACAACAACAGAGACUUCCACAAUCACAACUCCUGAUGAAACAUCCACCACUAGUUUAGCAGAAACAGCUACAACAACAGAGACUUCCACAACCACAACUCCUGAUGAAACAACCACCACUAGUUCAGCAGAAACAUCUACCACAAUAGAGACUUCCACAAUCACAACUCCUGAUGAAACAACCACCACUAGUGCAGCAGAAACAUCUACAACAAAACAGACUUCAACAAUCAUGACUCCUGCUGAAGCAUCCACCAUUAUUUCAGCAGAACCAUCAACAACAACAGAGACUUCCACAAUCAUGACUCCAGAUAAAACAUCCACCACUAGUGCAAUAGAAAGAUCUACAAUGUCAGAGACUUCCACAAUAACGACACCUGAUGAAACAUCCAUAACUAGUGCACCAGAAACAUCUACAACAACAGAGACUUCCACAAUGACGACUCCUGAUAAAACAUCCAGCACUAAUUCACCAGAAACAUCUACAACAACAGA